AUACGGAGGGGGUUAGCGUUGUUCGGAAUUACUGGGCGUAAAGCGUACGUAGGCGGAUCAGAAAGUAUAGGGUGAAAUCCCAGGGCUCAACCCUGGAACUGCCUUAUAAACUCCUGGUCUUGAGUUCGAGAGAGGUGAGUGGAAUUCCAAGUGUAGAGGUGAAAUUCGUAGAUAUUUGGAGGAACACCAGUGGCGAAGGCGGCUCACUGGCUCGAUACUGACGCUGAGGUGCGAAAGCGUGGGGAGCAAACAGGAUUAGAAACCCCAGUAGUCC
rnacentral:rRNA from 1 species